GAUGAACGCUGGCGGCGUGCCUAAUACAUGCAAGUCGAGCGAACAGACGAGGAGCUUGCUCCUCUGACGUUAGCGGCGGACGGGUGAGUAACACGUGGAUAACCUACCUAUAAGACUGGGAUAACUUCGGGAAACCGGAGCUAAUACCGGAUAAUAUAUUGAACCGCAUGGUUCAAUAGUGAAAGACGGUUUUGCUGUCACUUAUAGAUGGAUCCGCGCCGCAUUAGCUAGUUGGUAAGGUAACGGCUUACCAAGGCGACGAUGCGUAGCCGACCUGAGAGGGUGAUCGGCCACACGGGAACUGAGACACGGUCCAGACUCCUACGGGAGGCAGCAGUAGGGAAUCUUCCGCAAUGGGCGAAAGCCUGACGGAGCAACGCCGCGUGAGUGAUGAAGGUCUUCGGAGCGUAAAACUCUGUUAUUAGGGAAGAACAAAUGUGGAAGUAACUAUGCACGUCUUGACGGUACCUAAUCAGAAAGCAACGGCUAACUACGUG
rnacentral:rRNA from 1 species